rnacentral:tRNA from 2 species
GGGCCCGUAGCUCAGUGGCAGAGCGGUCGGCUCAUAACCGAUUGGUCGUAGGUUCGAAUCCUGCCGGGCCCACCA